GUACUUACCUGGCAGGGGAGAUACCACAAUCACAAAGGUGGUUUUCCCAGGGCGAGGCUUAUCCAUUGUACUCUGGGUGUGCUGACCCCUGCGAUUUCCCCAAAUGUGGGAAACUCAACUGCAUAAUUUAUGGUAGUGGGUGACUGCGUUUGCGCUUUCCCCUG
rnacentral:snRNA from 1 species